rnacentral:rRNA from 1 species
CCUACGGGUGGCUGCAGUGAGGAAUAUUGGUCAAUGGACGCAAGCCUGAACCAGCCAUGCCGCGUGCAGGAAGACUGCUCUAUGAGUUGUAAACUGCUUUUGUACGAGGGUAAAGGCAGAUACGCGUAUCUGUCUGGAAGUAUCGUAUGAAUAAGGAUCGGCUAACUCCGUGCCAGCAGCCGCGGUAAUACGGAGGAUCCAAGCGUUAUCCGGAUUUAUUGGGUUUAAAGGGUGCGUAGAUGGUUGGAUAAGUUAGUGGUGAAAGCCCGAGGCUCAACUUCGGAAUUGCCUCUGAUACUGGUCGGCUAGAGAGUAGUUGCGGUAGGCGGAAUGUAUGGUGUAGCGGUGAAAUGCUUAGAGAUCAUACAGAACACCGAUUGCGAAGGCAGCUUACCAAGCUACUACUGACGUUGAGGCACGAAAGCGUGGGGAGCAAACAGGAUUAGAUACCCGAGUAGUC